rnacentral:rRNA from 1 species
GAUGAACGCUGGCGGCGUGCCUAAUACAUGCAAGUCGAGCGAACGGACGAGAAGCUUGCUUCUCUGAUGUUAGCGGCGGACGGGUGAGUAACACGUGGAUAACCUACCUAUAAGACUGGGAUAACUUCGGGAAACCGGAGCUAAUACCGGAUGAUAUUUUGAACCGCAUGGUUCAAAAGUGAAAGACGGUCUUGCUGUCACUUAUAGAUGGAUCCGCGCUGCAUUAGCUAGUUGGUAAGGUAACGGCUUACCAAGGCAACGAUGCAUAGCCGACCUGAGAGGGUGAUCGGCCACACUGGAACUGGGACACGGUCCAGACUCCUACGGGAGGCAGCAGUAGGGAAUCUUCCGCAAUGGGCGAAGGCCUGACGGAGCAACGCCGCGUGAGUGAUGAAGGUCUUCGGAUCGUAAAACUCUGUUAUUAGGGAAGAACAUAUGUGUAAGUAACUGUGCACAUCUUGACGGUACCUAAUCAGAAAGCCACGGCUAACUACGUG